rnacentral:rRNA from 1 species
UACGUAGGGUGCGAGCGUUAAUCGGAAUUACUGGGCGUAAAGCGUGCGCAGGCGGUUAUUUAAGACAGGUGUGAAAUCCCCGGGCUUAACCUGGGAACUGCAUUUGUGACUGCACAGCUAGAGUUUGUCAGAGGGGGGUGGAAUUCCACGUGUAGCAGUGAAAUGCGUAGAUAUGCGGAGGAACAUCGAUGGCGAAGGCAGCCCCCUGGACCUGUACUGACGCUGAGGCACGAAAGCAUGGGUAGCGAACAGG